AUAGGGGAGCCGAAGGGAAACCGAGUCUUAACUGGGCGUUAAGUUGCAGGGUAUAGACCCGAAACCCGGUGAUCUAGCCAUGGGCAGGUUGAAGGUUGGGUAACACUAACUGGAGGACCGAACCGACUAAUGUUGAAAAAUUAGCGGAUGACCUGUGGCUGGGGGUGAAAGGCCAAUCAAACCGGGAGAUAGCUGGUUCUCCCCGAAAGCUAUUUAGGUAGCGCCUCGUGAAUUCAUCUCCGGGGGUAGAGCACUGUUUCGGCUAGGGGGCCAUCCCGGCUUACCAACCCGAUGCAAACUGCGAAUACCGGAGAAUGUUAUCACGGGAGACACACGGCGGGUGCUAACGUCCGUCGUGAAGAGGGAAACAACCCAGACCGCCAGCUAAGGUCCCAAAGUCAUGGUUAAGUGGGAAACGAUGUGGGAAGGCCCAGACAGCCAGGAUGUUGGCUUAGAAGCAGCCAUCAUUUAAAGAAAGCGUAAUAGCUCACUGGUCGAGUCGGCCUGCGCGGAAGAUGUAACGGGGCUAAACCAUGCACCGAAGCUGCGGCAGCGACACUAUGUGUUGUUGGGUAGGGGAGCGUUCUGUAAGCCGUUGAAGGUGGCCUGUGAGGGUUGCUGGAGGUAUCAGAAGUGCGAAUGCUGACAUAAGUAACGAUAAAGCGGGUGAAAAGCCCGCUCGCCGGAAGACCAAGGGUUCCUGUCCAACGUUAAUCGGGGCAGGGUGAGUCGACCCCUAAGGCGAGGCCGAAAGGCGUAGUCGAUGGGAAACAGGUUAAUAUUCCUGUACUUGGUGUUACUGCGAAGGGGGGACGGAGAAGGCUAUGUCGGCCGGGCGACGGUUGUCCCGGUUUAAGCGUGUAGGUGUGUGCUCCAGGCAAAUCCGGUGCACUUUAACACUGAGGCGUGAUGACGAGGCACUACGGUGCUGAAGUGACAAAUGCCCUGCUUCCAGGAAAAGCCUCUAAGCAUCAGGUAACACGAAAUCGUACCCCAAACCGACACAGGUGGUCAGGUAGAGAAUACCAAGGCGCUUGAGAGAACUCGGGUGAAGGAACUAGGCAAAAUGGUGCCGUAACUUCGGGAGAAGGCACGCUGAUAUGUAGGUGAAGUGAUUUACUCAUGGAGCUGAAAUCAGUCGAAGAUACCAGCUGGCUGCAACUGUUUAUUAAAAACACAGCACUGUGCAAACACGAAAGUGGACGUAUACGGUGUGACGCCUGCCCGGUGCCGGAAGGUUAAUUGAUGGGGUUAUCCCUCGGGAGAAGCUCUUGAUCGAAGCCCCGGUAAACGGCGGCCGUAACUAUAACGGUCCUAAGGUAGCGAAAUUCCUUGUCGGGUAAGUUCCGACCUGCACGAAUGGCGUAAUGAUGGCCAGGCUGUCUCCACCCGAGACUCAGUGAAAUUGAACUCGCUGUGAAGAUGCAGUGUACCCGCGGCAAGACGGAAAGACCCCGUGAACCUUUACUAUAGCUUGACACUGAACACUGGUCCUUGAUGUGUAGGAUAGGUGGGAGGCUUUGAAGUGUGGACGCCAGUCUGCAUGGAGCCGCCCUUGAAAUACCACCCUUUAAUGGCUGGUGUUCUAACGUGGGCCCGUAAUCCGGGUUGCGGACAGUGUCUGGUGGGUAGUUUGACUGGGGCGGUCUCCUCCUAAAGAGUAACGGAGGAGCACGAAGGUCAGCUAAUCCUGGUCGGACAUCAGGAGGUUAGUGCAAUGGCAUAAGCUGGCUUGACUGCGAGCGUGACGGCGCGAGCAGGUGCGAAAGCAGGUCAUAGUGAUCCGGUGGUUCUGAAUGGAAGGGCCAUCGCUCAACGGAUAAAAGGUACUCCGGGGAUAACAGGCUGAUACCGCCCAAGAGUUCAUAUCGACGGCGGUGUUUGGCACCUCGAUGUCGGCUCAUCACAUCCUGGGGCUGAAGUAGGUCCCAAGGGUAUGGCUGUUCGCCAUUUAAAGUGGUACGCGAGCUGGGUUUAGAACGUCGUGAGACAGUUCGGUCCCUAUCUGCCGUGGGCGCUGGAGAACUGAGGGGGGCUGCUCCUAGUACGAGAGGACCGGAGUGGACGCAUCACUGGUGUUCGGGUUGUCAUGCCAAUGGCACUGCCCGGUAGCUAAAUGCGGAAGAGAUAAGUGCUGAAAGCAUCUAAGCACGAAACUUGCCCCGAGAUGAGUUCUCCCUGACUCCUUGAGAGUCCUGAAGGAACGUUGAAGACGACGACGUUGAUAGGCCGGGUGUGUAAGCGCAGCGAUGCGUUGAGCUAACCGGUACUAAUGAACCGUGAGGCUUAACCUU
rnacentral:rRNA from 1 species